GGUAAAAAUUAUAUUGAAGUAUUUUUAAUUUUUUAUUAAAAGGUUUUUUUACUA
rnacentral:tRNA from 1 species